UAGAGUUUGAUCCUGGCUCAGGAUGAACGCUAGCUACAGGCUUAACACAUGCAAGUCGAGGGGAAACGAUAUUGGAAGCUUGCUUCCGAUAGGCGUCGACCGGCGCACGGGUGAGUAACGCGUAUCCAACCUGCCCAUCACUUGGGGAUAACCUUGCGAAAGUAAGACUAAUACCCAAUGAUAUCUCAAGAAGACAUCUGAAUGAGAUUAAAGAUUUAUCGGUGAUGGAUGAGGAUGCGUCUGAUUAGCUUGUUGGCGGGGUAACGGCCCACCAAGGCGACGAUCAGUAGGGGUUCUGAGAGGAAGGUCCCCCACAUUGGAACUGAGACACGGUCCAAACUCCUACGGGAGGCAGCAGUGAGGAAUAUUGGUCAAUGGGCGAGAGCCUGAACCAGCCAAGUAGCGUGCAGGAUGACGGCCCUAUGGGUUGUAAACUGCUUUUAUAAGGGAAUAAAGUGAGUCUCGUGAGGCUUUUUGCAUGUACCUUAUGAAUAAGGACCGGCUAAUUCCGUGCCAGCAGCCGCGGUAAUACGGAAGGUCCGGGCGUUAUCCGGAUUUAUUGGGUUUAAAGGGAGCGUAGGCCGGAGAUUAAGCGUGUUGUGAAAUGUAGAUGCUCAACGUCUGCACUGCAGCGCGAACUGGUUUCCUUGAGUACGCACAAAGUGGGCGGAAUUCGUGGUGUAGCGGUGAAAUGCUUAGAUAUCACGAAGAACUCCGAUUGCGAAGGCAGCUCACUGGAGCGCAACUGACGCUGAAGCUCGAAAGUGCGGGUAUCGAACAGGAUUAGAUACCCUGGUAGUCCGCACGGUAAACGAUGGAUGCCCGCUGUUGGUCUGAAUAGGUCAGCGGCCAAGCGAAAGCAUUAAGCAUCCCACCUGGGGAGUACGCCGGCAACGGUGAA
rnacentral:rRNA from 1 species